GGUGAGAUGGCCGAGCGGUCUAAGGCGCCAGACUAAGGCAUAGUAAGCUUCUCGCUACAGUGAAUGGAAUCUGGUCCGAAAGGGCGUGGGUUCGAAUCCCACUCUCAUCA